UGAAGAAUCCUGAAGGCAACAGCAUCACGGCCUCGUGACAGCUGCCACAAGUGGAAUCUCUGUCAGAUGAUAGCUGCCUUGCUGCACUGCGCCCAGAAGCCUUCCCAGAAGGAUAGCCCAGACUCACUCUGGCCAUCAUGCCCAGCGGAACCGUACUUACAGGAUUCUCAGCAGACGUUGACUGGCGACCACUUCAGUUUGUCCAGGCAAUGACUGGGGUACGCUUCUGCGAUUUGUGCGGAGUUUUGCCGAUAAACCUGCGCCUCCUUGAAUGCACCCAUGGAUUCUGCCAUCACUGCUUCAACCAGCUGCUUGUGAAACCCUGCAAGUGCCCGUUUGACAAACGUCGCUUCACAGCCAGAGAGGUGCAAACCUUCGAGUUCACCGAGAGCGAACUGUUGCAGUUUGAAGUCCACUGCUGGAAAUACGCCGACGGUUGCGAUUUUGUAGGUGAUUACCUCUCAAUGACAUCUCAUUUUCUCAACGACUGCUCUCGGCAUUCAGUUGGCUGUCCUCGUUGCAAGUUCAGAGUUCGUCGCAGUGAAAUCCUUGAGCACAACAGCACAGAAUGCAAGGUUCCGUGUGCUGAACAAGGAAUGAACAUGUCUCACGCUAAGGACUUCGUAGCAGACGAUAUUGUUCGAGUAAGCCAAGAUAUGCAGCGUAGCGUGAUAUCGUUCUGCAAGGAUCAGGAGACCUUGCAAAAUAAAGCGAACGCUUUAUCCUCAAGCAUCAAAUGCUUAGGAAAGAAGCUGCUACAGGUGAAAAAGGUCGCGGAAAAUGCUGUCAAUGCGUGCAGCGUACAGAAACAAGAUGCACUUCGUGCCGUUCAGAGUAUCAAAUCCUGCGGCAACGAAAGGGGAGGAGGAGGAGGAGGAAACAGCGGGUGGUGUGACUGGACCACGUGGUCUGGACAGACCAACAAGAAGCACAACAAGAAGAAAAGGACGAAGAAGAAGUAAUAGGCAACGGUAAAGUGUCUGAUAAACAGGGCAGGGCAGAUGUCAUCUCGACAGGCAUUGACGGAUUCAUUGGGUGUACAUUGGACCCUUUGCGCUUCUGUUUCUGUAAACCCCGUAUUCGUUGUACCAGUUUCGUAUAAACUAGAAGGUGCUCUCCACGUGCUCCAGGUGCUGCUCCUGGUCACGUCGCUUUCCGUCCCGUUAAACUGAUGUAGCCGCAAGAGACACACAGCUAAUUCCAAAUCAAAAAUUCGUCGGCGUCGUACAGACCGUGCACAGUAUUUUGUUCGUCGUUAUUUUUAACAGGAACUAGUUUUUAAAUUGUGGUGGACCUGCAUUAAGCAAUGGGACAGAAAUGUAUGUUGUCUCGUUCAUGGUGUAAUAUACGCUGUCCUCGCAACUGCAA